AAAAAAAAAGUUGUGCUCGGGCAGUAAUGUAGAGAUUGGUUUGCCUGCUACUGAAUUCAAACUAAUCUCUAUGCUGCUGCCCAAGCACAUCCUAUAUUCAACUUCUUUAU
ensembl:miRNA